UACAGAGGGUGCGAACGUUGUUCGGAAUUACUGGGCUUGAAGCGCGCGUAGGCGGCCCCGCAAGUGCGGUGUGAAAUCCCACGGCUUACCCGUGGAACCGCGCCGUGUACUACGGGGCUAGAGGAUGGUAGAGGAGGGCGGAACUCUUGGUGGAGCGGUGAAAUGCGUAGAGAUCAAGAGGAACACCGGUGGCGAAGGCGGCCCUCUGGUCCAUUACUGACGCUGAGGCGCGAAAGCUAGGGGAGCAAAC
rnacentral:rRNA from 1 species